GGAAAGGAUGUGAAGUUCAAUCGAAAGCUGCUAACUAUCGUAAAUGCGGUUAAACUCCGUUUACA
rnacentral:tRNA from 1 species